CAGCAGCCACGGUAAUACGAAGGUCCCGAGCGUUGUUCGGAAUCACUGGGCGUAAAGGGAGCGUAGGCGGCGUGGUAAGUCAGAUGUGAAAUCCCGGGGCUCAACCCCGGAACUGCAUCCGAUACUGCUGUGCUAGAGGAUUGGAGAGGUAGCUGGAAUUCUUGGUGUAGCAGUGAAAUGCGUGGAGAUCAAGAGGAACACUCGUGGCGAAAGCGAGCUACUGGACAAUAUCUGACGCUGAGGCUCGAAGGCCAGGGUAGCGAAAGGGAUUAGAUACCCCAGUAGUCCCUGUCUCUUAUAA
rnacentral:rRNA from 1 species